AACGAACGCUGGCGGCAUGCCUAACACAUGCAAGUAGAACGAUCCCUUCGGGGAUAGUGGCGCACGGGUGCGUAACGCGUGGGAACCUGCCCUUAGGUUCGGAAUAACUCAGAGAAAUUUGAGCUAAUACCGGAUAAUGUCUUCGGACCAAAGAUUUAUCGCCUUUGGAUGGGCCCGCGUUGGAUUAGCUAGUUGGUGGGGUAAAGGCCUACCAAGGCGACGAUCCAUAGCUGGUCUGAGAGGAUGAUCAGCCACACUGGGACUGAGACACGGCCCAGACUCCUACGGGAGGCAGCAGUGGGGAAUAUUGGACAAUGGGCGAAAGCCUGAUCCAGCAAUGCCGCGUGAGUGAUGAAGGCCUUAGGGUUGUAAAGCUCUUUUACCCGGGAUGAUAAUGACAGUACCGGGAGAAUAAGCCCCGGCUAACUCCGUG
rnacentral:rRNA from 1 species